GACGAACGCUGGCGGCGUGCUUAACACAUGCAAGUCGAACGGAAAGGCCCUGCUUUUGUGGGGUGCUCGAGUGGCGAACGGGUGAGUAACACGUGAGUAACCUGCCCUUGACUUUGGGAUAACUUCAGGAAACUGGGGCUAAUACCGGAUAGGAGCUCCUGCUGCAUGGGGGGGGUUGGAAAGUUUCGGCGGUUGGGGAUGGACUCGCGGCUUAUCAGCUUGUUGGUGGGGUAGUGGCUUACCAAGGCUUUGACGGGUAGCCGGCCUGAGAGGGUGGACGGGCACAUGGGGACUGAGGUACGGCGCAGACGCCUACGGGAGGCAGCAGUGGGGAGUCUUGCACAGUGGGCGGGAGCCUGAGGCGGCAACGCCGCGUGCGGGAUGACGGCCUUCGGGUUGUGAACCGCUUUCGCCUGUGACGAAGCGGGAGUGACGGUACUGGGUAAAGAAGCACCGGCUAACUACGUG
rnacentral:rRNA from 1 species